rnacentral:rRNA from 1 species
UACGGAGGGUGCAAGCGUUAAUCGGAAUUACUGGGCGUAAAGCGCACGCAGGCGGUUUGUUAAGUCAGAUGUGAAAUCCCCGGGCUCAACCUGGGAACUGCAUCUGAUACUGGCAAGCUUGAGUCUCGUAGAGGGGGGUGGAAUUCCAGGUGUAGCGGUGAAAUGCGUAGAGAUCUGGAGGAAUACCGGUGGCGAAGGCGGCUGGCUGGGCCGUGUCUGACACUCAUCCGCGAAAGCGUGGGGAGCAAACAGG